UAGGGAAGUCUUCCACAAUGGACGAAAGUACUGAUGGAGCAACGCCGCGUGAGUGAAGAAGGGUUUCGGCUCGUAAAACUCUGUUGUUAAAGAAGAACAUAUCUGAGAGUAACUGUUCAGGUAUUGACGGUAUUUAACCAGAAAGCCACGGCUAACUACGUGCCAC
rnacentral:rRNA from 1 species